AGAGCGAACGCUGGCGGCAGGCCUAAUACAUGCAAGCCGAACGCACCUUCGGGUGAGUGGCGGACGGGUGAGUAACACGUGGGAACGUGCCCUUUGGUUCGGAAUAAUCCGGGGAAACCUGGCCUAAUACCGAAUGUGCCCUUCGGGGGAAAGAUUUAUCGCCAUUGGAGCGGCCCGCGUCUGAUUAGCUAGUUGGUGGGGUAAAGGCCCACCAAGGCUACGAUCAGUAGCUGGUCUGAGAGGAUGAUCAGCCACACUGGGACUGAGACACGGCCCCAGACUCCUACGGGAGGCAGCAGUAGGGAAUCUUGCGCAAUGGGCGAAAGCCUGACGCAGCCAUGCCGCGUGAAUGAUGAAGGUCUUAGGAUUGUAAAAUUCUUUCAGCGGGGAAGAUAAUGACGGUACCGCAGAAGAAGCUCGGCUAACUUCGCGCCAGCAGCCGC
rnacentral:rRNA from 1 species